CAAAGCCUGUACAAGCUGGAGGCAGGGCUUUACAAAGGGGAGCAGAGCAGCUCAGAAGGAGACAGCUGACAGGAACAGAGGGCUGCUCUGAAGGGAAAAUACUACCCAGGAACUCAUUGCCCACAAAGGAGAGGUAGGCAACUGAGACUACAGGCCAAAGACUUGAUUAGAUCGGACUACUCCAUCUGAGUCAAUGGGGCUGCCCUGUGCCUACAAGAAAAGAUGUGUGCAGUGUUGCUGUAACUGUAUCAGACCUAGGAUAUUAGAGCGACAAGGAGCUGAUGUGUGGGCAAGUCACCUGAUCAAUCAGUGCAUCAGUUUCCCUCAUUUGCUUACACAAGUUGAGCACAUGAAGUCCUUACACGCACACAAAGCUCUUGUUGGCACUUGCUUCCCAUGAACAUUUAUUAUAACCUUCCCCCACCCACCCACAGGUUGUCUACUUGCCUGAAGCAGCUUCCUUCCUUUUUUCUUUUUUUGUUUGAGAUGCUGGACUAGAGAAAGGGGUCACUUGUGACUAGCUUAGCCUAUUGAAUUUAGAUAGUCUAUCCGAUUCAGCAGGUAUUUGCAGAUUGAUAUAAACAACACCCUUUCCCACAGAUUGCUCUCACUGCACCUCACUUAUAAAGUACGUCUUUUUAUUACAAAUAUGAGACUAUAUAAAGAUAUACAGGAUGAAUGUUUAAAAUAUGGUUCUAGUUUUGUUAGUCACUGUUUGGAACUGUUAUUCCUACAUCAGCAUUAAGGAAAGCAAGUUGUUUGCUACUUACGAUUAUUGGUUUUUCAUUUAAUUAAAGGCUUAUCCUUAUGCUCCAGUA